rnacentral:rRNA from 1 species
AGGAUGAACGCUGGCGGCGUGCUUAACACAUGCAAGUCGAACGGUGAACUUGGGAGCUUGCUCUCGGGGGAUCAGUGGCGAACGGGUGAGUAACACGUGAGUAACCUGCCCUUGACUCUGGGAUAAGCACUGGAAACGGUGUCUAAUACCGGAUAUGAGCUUCAGCCGCAUGGCUAGGAGCUGGAAAGAAUUUCGGUCAAGGAUGGACUCGCGGCCUAUCAGGUAGUUGGUGAGGUAAAGGCUCACCAAGCCGACGACGGGUAGCCGGCCUGAGAGGGUGACCGGCCACACUGGGACUGAGACACGGCCCAGACUCCUACGGGAGGCAGCAGUGGGGAAUAUUGCACAAUGGGCGCAAGCCUGAUGCAGCAACGCCGCGUGAGGGACGAAGGCCUUCGGGUUGUAAACCUCUUUUAGUAGGGAAGAAGCGAAAGUGACGGUACCUGCAGAAAAAGCACCGGCUAACUACGUGCCAGC